rnacentral:rRNA from 1 species
AACGAACGCUGGCGGCAGGCUUAACACAUGCAAGUCGAACGCCCCGCAAGGGGAGUGGCAGACGGGUGAGUAACGCGUGGGAAUCUACCCAGUUCUACGGAAUAACCCAGGGAAACUUGGACUAAUACCGUAUACGCCCUACGGGGGAAAGAUUUAUCGGAAUUGGAUGAGCCCGCGUUGGAUUAGCUAGUUGGUGGGGUAAUGGCCUACCAAGGCGACGAUCCAUAGCUGGUCUGAGAGGAUGAUCAGCCACACUGGGACUGAGACACGGCCCAGACUCCUACGGGAGGCAGCAGUGGGGAAUAUUGGACAAUGGGCGCAAGCCUGAUCCAGCCAUGCCGCGUGAGUGAUGAAGGCCUUAGGGUUGUAAAGCUCUUUCAGUGGGGACGAUAAUGACGGUACCCACAGAAGAAGCCCCGGCUAACUUCGUGCCAGCAGCCGCCGUAAAAC